rnacentral:rRNA from 1 species
GACGAACCGUGCGAACGUUAUUCGGAAUCACUGGGCUUAAAGGGCGCGUAGGCGGGCCGCCCGGUCCGGGGUGAAAUCCUCCAGCUCAACUGGAGAAGUGCCUUGGAUACCGGCGGCCUCGAGGGAGGCAGGGGCGUGCGGAACUUCGGGUGGAGCGGUGAAAUGCGUAGAUAUCCGGAGGAACACCGGUGGCGAAAGCGGCGCGCUGGACCUCUUCUGACGCUGAGGCGCGAAAGCCAGGGGAGCAAACGGG